rnacentral:lncRNA from 1 species
UCUUCCCCUCGCCCUCCUCCACCACGCGACGGUUCUUCCCCUCCACCUCCUCCACCAAGCAAACGUGCUGCCUCUCCUCCUCCACCAGGCGACGGUUCUUCCCCUCCACCUCCUCCACCACGCGACGGUUCUUCCCCUCGCCCUCCUCCACCACGCGACGGUUCUUCCCCUCCUCCUCCUCCACCACGUGACGGUUCUGCCCCUCCACCGCCUCCUAGUGGACCCCCUUCAACAUAGAGGCCUUCUCCUCCGAACCCAAACCAAGUGUAGACGAACGAAAAGCUGAUUCCACGCAGGACUAGAAGACUGCUGUUUAUCAAAUGACAACGAAUUUAGUCACAAUUAACGGCAACGAAUGGCAACCAAUCUUAAAUAUUAGUUUCCUUAUGAUGAUCUAGGCCUUUCAUGUAGUUUUGUUUUUCUUCUAUACGAUCAUGAAAUGAUAAGAGAUGAAAGAUUGGGCAAAACUAAACGGAUUUAAUGAAAAUCAAGUGCAAAGUUACAUCACUUAUUUCAUAAUUCUUUGAUCGGGUGAUAGAGUAACCGGCUACCCGCAUUCACUUUGCUUCA